CCUACGGGCGGCAGCAGUAAGGAAUCUUUCACAAUGGGCGAAAGCCUGAUGGAGCAACGCCGCGUGCAGGCUGAAGGCCUUCGGGUUGUAAACUGCUUUUAUAAGCGAGAAAUAUGAUGGUAACUUAUGAAUAAGGAUCGGCUAACUACGUGCCAGCAGCCGCGGUCAUACGUAGGAUCCGAGCAUUAUCCGGAGUGACUGGGUGUAAAGAGUUGCGUAGGUGGCAUAAUAAGUAGCUAGUGAAAUCUGGUGGCUCAACCAUUCAGACUAUUAGCGAAACUGUUAAGCUCGAGACCGUUAGGGGUAACUGGAAUUUCUAGUGUAGGAGUGAAAUCCGUAGAUAUUAGAAGGAACACCAAUAGCGUAGGCAGGUUGCUGGGACGGUUCUGACACUAAGGCACGAAAGCGUAGGGAGCAAACGGGAUUAGAUACCCCUGUAGUC
rnacentral:rRNA from 1 species